rnacentral:rRNA from 1 species
UAACGCGAAGAACCUUACCAAGGCUUGACAUACAGGAGAACGGGCCAGAAAUGGUCAACUCUUUGGACACUCGUGAACAGGUGGUGCAUGGUUGUCGUCAGCUCGUGUCGUGAGAUGUUGGGUUAAGUCCCGCAACGAGCGCAACCCUCGUUUUAUGUUGCCAGCACGUGAUGGUGGGAACUCAUAGGAGACUGCCGGGGUCAACUCGGAGGAAGGUGGGGAUGACGUCAAAUCAUCAUGCCCCUUAUGUCUUGGGCUUCACGCAUGCUACAAUGGCCGGUACAAAGGGCUGCGAUACCGUAAGGUGGAGCGAAUCCCAAAAAGCCGGUCUCAGUUCGGAUUGAGGUCUGCAACUCGACCUCAUGAAGUCGGAGUCGCUAGUAAUCGCAGAUCAGCA